AACGCACCUUGCGCCCCUUGGUUAUUCCUCGGGGCAUGCCUGUUUGAGUAUCAUGAACACCUCAACUCUCAUGGUCUUCCAUGAUGAGCUUGGACUUUGGGGGUUUGCUGGCUCUGCGGCCGGCUCCUCUCAAACGAAUCAGCUUGCCAGUGUUUGGCGGCGUCACGGGUGUGAUAACUAUCUACGCUCGCGGUCGUCUGCCAGGUAACCCUCAGCAAUGAAGGUUCAUUGGGGCUCAUAAACGUCUCUCCCCAGGAGGACAACUUUUGAACGUUCGAUCUCAAAUCAGGUAGGACUACCCGCUGAACUUAA
rnacentral:misc_RNA from 1 species